ACAUAAAAGCUACAUACAUGUUUAUUUGUCUUUAUUCUAGUUAUUUAUUCUAAUUGUUGUUGAUGUAGGUGCACACAGCUUCAUGGUCCACAAUGCUGUGGAAAGCCUGUGUCUGGAGGACUCUCUCAGGGAUGCUGGAGUUCAGUUAAGGAGAUGCAGUCUGGACUCAGAGCUUCAGCAGUGGCUGUGGACAGAGAGGUGGUUCCUCCUGAAUGUGGGCACACACAGGUGUCUGUCUGGCCUCCAGGAUGACCCUAUCCAGACAGUGGAAUGUGAUGGUGGAGACCACCUGCAGUGGCAGUGUACGAACCACAGGCUGAUCAGUGUGAAUCGUUCUCUGGAGCUGAGUGCACAGACAGGAAGGCUGAGUCUCACCAGCAGAGGAAUAAACACCAGGUGGAAGUCCCUGGAUGAGGGAGACAUAUGUCAGGAGAAGCUCAGAUCCAGACGGCAGAGUGAGCCCGGUGAGUUUGAGUUUUCAGAAGAAGACAGGGCCCACAUGCCCCACACCAUGACUGAAGAACAGAGGGAGUUCCUUAAGUGGUUCUACCGCACUGAAGACUCAACUCUGUGGGUGUUUUCCAUGCUGGUCUUGUCAUUCCUGGCUCUACUGCUGGGCUGUGUGCUCCUGGUCAUGGGUGUAAUGGGUAACAGAAAUAGGAGGAAUAUAGCCAAAUACAAGGCUUCCGCUUCUGCAGUAUCCACUCCAAUGAAAGUGGAGAUGGAGGAGCUUCAGAUCAUCACUCACACCAAGGACGAAAACCACUCAUACACUGCACCGAUGCAGGACAGUCACCUGGAGAACAACGAGUCAACAGGGGGCGCUAAUGAGACAGAGGCCCUGAAGCCUGGGGAGAUUAUUGUCUCCUGGAAGGAUGGAAAUGUCUCUAAUCUGUACCCUGAAUCUCUGGAGGACAGAGUGGAUGAGAACGUACAGCAGUGA
rnacentral:lncRNA from 1 species